rnacentral:rRNA from 1 species
UGGGGAAUUUUGGACAAUGGGCGAAAGCCUGAUCCAGCAAUGCCGCGUGUGUGAAGAAGGCCUUCGGGUUGUAAAGCACUUUUGUCCGGAAAGAAAUCCUCUGGGUUAAUACCUCGGGGGGAUGACGGUACCGGAAGAAUAAGCACCGGCUAACUACGUGCCAGCAGCCGCGGUAAUACGUAGGGUGCAAGCGUUAAUCGGAAUUACUGGGCGUAAAGCGUGCGCAGGCGGUUUUGUAAGACGGAUGUGAAAUCCCCGGGCUUAACCUGGGAACUGCAUUCGUGACUGCAAGGCUAGAGUAUGGCAGAGGGGGGUAGAAUUCCACGUGUAGCAGUGAAAUGCGUAGAGAUGUGGAGGAAUACCGAUGGCGAAGGCAGCCCCCUGGGCCAAAUACUGACGCUCAUGCACGAAAGCGUGGGGAGCAAAACAGGAUUAGAUACCCUGGUAGUCCACGCCCUAAAACGAUGUCAAACUAGUUGUUGGGGAUUCAUUUCCUUAGUAACGUAGCUAACGCGUGAAGUUGACCGCCUGGGGAGUACGGUCGCAAGAUUAAAACUCAAAUGAAUUGACGGGGUCAUAGCUG